rnacentral:rRNA from 1 species
AGGCCUUUUGGUUGUAAAGCACUUUAAGCGAGGAGGAGGCUACCGAGAUUAAUACUCUAGGAUAGUGGACGUUACUCGCAGAAUAAGCACCGGCUAACUCUGUGCCAGCAGCCGCGGUAAUACAGAGGGUGCGAGCGUUAAUCGGAUUUACUGGGCGUAAAGCGUGCGUAGGCGGCUUCUUAAGUCGGAUGUGAAAUCCCUGAGCUUAACUUAGGAAUUGCAUUCGAUACUGGGAAGCUAGAGUAUGGGAGAGGAUGGUAGAAUUCCAGGUGUAGCGGUGAAAUGCGUAGAGAUCUGGAGGAAUACCGAUGGCGAAGGCAGCCAUCUGGCCUAAUACUGACGCUGAGGUACGAAAGCAUGGGGAGCAAACAGGAUUAGAUACCCUGGUAGUCCAUGCCGUAAACGAUGUCUACUAGCCGUUGGGGCCUUUGAGGCUUUAGUGGCGCAGCUAACGCGAUAAGUAGACCGCCUGGGGAGUACGGUCGCAAGACUAAAACUCAAAUGAAUUGACGGGGGCCCGCACAAG